rnacentral:rRNA from 1 species
GACGAACGCUGGCGGCGUGCUUAACACAUGCAAGUCGAACGGAAAGGCCUCUUUCGGGGGGUACUCGAGUGGCGAACGGGUGAGUAACACGUGAGUAACCUGCCCUUGACUUUGGGAUAACUUCAGGAAACUGGGGCUAAUACCGGAUAGGAGCUCCUGCUGCAUGGUGGGGGUUGGAAAGUUUCGGCGGUUGGGGAUGGACUCGCGGCUUAUCAGCUUGUUGGUGGGGUAGUGGCUUACCAAGGCUUUGACGGGUAGCCGGCCUGGGAGGGUGACCGGCCACAUUGGGACUGAGAUACGGCCCAGACUCCUACGGGAGGCAGCAGGGGGGAAUAUUGCACAAUGGGUGGAAGCCUGAUGCAGCAACGCCAUGUGCGGGAUGACGGCCUUCGGGUUGGAAACCGCUUUCGCUCAUGACGAAGCUUUGUGUGACGGUAGUGGGUAAAGAAGCACCGGCUAACUACGUG